UUUCCUGCAGCUCUCAAGUCAGCCAUAGCCUUUAUUACCAAGUUUAUUAAGGAAACCUGCCCUUGAUUGUUCUGUUUCCUGUUAGGAAAGUCACAGCAAAUUUUGAAAUUGUAAAAUUAGAUCUAUGUUCUCUCAGGUUCAACAUUUUGAGUAGACUGCCUUGAAGUUAGUAAAAAGGUUAGUGCAUUAUUGUUCUCCUAGAAGAGAAAUGAAAUUUUUAAACAAGUUGUCUUCAAAAGGCAGAUCAUUCAGAAAGAUACUGCAAACCUGGAUGGUUUGGUCAUUACAGAAAUCAACAACCCACUAAGACAAUCCUUCUGCAGUCAUGGAGUCAAGGCUCAUUAUUCCCCAGCUGGAGGUCGCCUGAUAUGAUAAGGAAGAGCAUGGGAACAUGUUGGCCCAGGUGCCAUUUCACUUCUCCAAGUUGCUUCCAGCUCUCUGGUAACUGUGGAGAAGGAUGCCAUACAACUUCUGGGGAUGCUUUUAUGGCCUAAAGAAAGAGAAGAGCUGAUGUACAGCUGAUGACCAUGUCCUUAGGAUGCAUUUUCCACACUUCUUUAAUAGAAGCAGAAUACUUCAAUAAAUACUGUAGGAUAAAAACUUUUGCAUCUGACCUUCUUUCCUCCUGUAUUCAAGCAGCCUUUCACAUUCCAGGAAGACUGAAAUAGCUAUUGUGGUCUCUGAAAGCUCCUCUUCUACGAGUUCAAGCCAUGUAGUCGACCAGCACCUAGGAGUGCUUGAUUUAACUUAUUUACAGCUCAAAAGCAUGCAGGAAAAGAUGUUUUUGUGUAGUAGGAUGGGAAAGCCUUCAGUAACCGUGCUUCUCCUCCUAAAAUAGCACUCGCUUUUUGAACGGGGGAGGACAAAGGGAUGCCAAGUAGUCCCAAAAUGCCAUCCAUUCCUAGAAGUGUUUCAGUGCAGAUGGUGCUGCGAAAACUGAACUAUUCCAGAGAUUCUAAGUGGCAGAUGGAAGUACCCGAGCCUGUGUGAGCAGACAGCUACCUCCUCUCUAUUCUGGCUGGGCACAAACCAUACUGAUGGCCUAAGAGAUUACAAAAGAGAAGUUGUGCCAAAUUACCAGAUCCUUGAGUUCAGUACAUCCUGCUGUGUCACCUUAUCCACAUAAAUUAAAGGAACUCUAUUAAAAAGCAUUAUGACAACUUUGAGAUGGUAACUGGCUAUGUGAAGAAGGAGAAGGAGGCCCUGAAAUUAUCUCUGGAUCUUACUAUACAAGGUAAAGAAGGACAGACCCUGAAGAUCCUUCACAUCCAUUCUAUAAAGCACUGAACAAUAGAAAAUAUUUUUAAAUAAAAUGAACUAGCAGGAAACUCUGAAGUGCAAGCAGAAGGUAAAGAUGUUGUUCUAAGAUAUGGAGGCAGACACAGGCAAGUCCCUCAAGGCAAAAAAGUAUGCAGUCCUCUGGCUCUUUCUCAAGGAAAACAUUCCUAAAUGCUCAUGUCUGUUUAUGUUUUCAUCACUGACUGAUGAGAUUGUGGACAACACACUUUGUCUUCUCUUGCUCUGUAGCUCAGAGAUAGUACUUGUGUCUCUUUAUCAAGGGCUGACAAUUCCAAGGGAGAAGAGGCUGUAACUAAAUCACCUCUUUAUGCCCUCUCCUCCAUGCUUGUCACAUAACUUACAUCCAGGUUUUAUGAAGAUCUUCUCUUUUAGUUCUUGAAGGGUGCUAGGGAAGGUUAUCAGGCAAUAAAAAUGUUUGCCUCAACUAUUAUUUGUUCUGCACGAUGCAUUUUCAACUGAAAACAGCUUCCAGGGAAAAAAGAGCACAGUCUUGAAUAGCAAGAAAGCCUCAAAUGGAUCUGUACCAGCUCAUAUUUGAUAGCUGUGCCCUGCAGUCUACUGUCCUUCCAAGGUACUGAAAGUCAAGCAGGUUUUGUAUUUUCUACAAAAACAAACAAAAAGGAAACAAAACCCAAAAAUACACUACAUUUAUUUUAGGAGUCACACAUUUAGAAAUUAUGUGCUGGCAUUUCAAUGCAUCAAAAGGAGAAUAUAUUUGUCAUGUUUUUAGAGCUUGUAAUUUUACUGGUUUGAGAAAGCAUGAGGUGACUCUUCAAAUAUUUGAGUUUUGUGGAGGUCAGAGGAAGCAAUCACAUACAGAAAAGAAAUGUCUGACUGAAAGGAGAGACUAUGCUUGCUGGGAGCACAUGAGAAAAAAGGAGAGGUUGUGAUGAAUCCCAUGCACAGCUGGAAGGAAGCUAUAAAAGGAAGGCAGGCUGUCUUGGAGAAUCAUUUUUCCUAUAUAAGUGAAAUUUCUGUCUUGUUAUAGUAAGGAACAGUUCUUUUUAACUUUGAGAAAUCAACCAGGAGCAAGCUCUGGACAGACUAUCUGCCUCAAGCUCUUUAAAAGAACAUUCUUCAGCUCUCCUGUACAAAUCACAUUACAUGUAAUGGGUAUAGUUAUGACCAUGGGAGACAGAAAGGAAGGAAUCAAGACUUUUCCUGACAAGGAUAAUUUUAUAGGGCCUGAUACAAAGGUGAAUCCACAGCAGGGCACAGAAAGAAGACACAGAAGAAAACGUCAGCCUGGCAGUAGAAUAUAACAAGGGAGGCCCUCACAGUGCAGUGCUGGGGAAUCUGGUGGGAUUUGUUCCUGUUUCUAGCACCACUCUGUCUCCUGGCUCUCAGGUGGGGAUCACCUGAGACCUACAGCAAGCACACACAGGGUGUUUUUAUAGACUCUAAAACUGCAUUAAGAGAACUCAUAGAAAAAUAGUCACUAGAAAUAUUAGAAUAGCUCAAUCCCUAUAUCAAAACAAAUGAAAAUUGCACCAAGCUAGAGUUCCUGAGGCCUUUCCUUCCCAUAAUACCUAUUUGUGUCAAAACGAUGGACAAGAGAAGCCUGGUAAGCCCACAAAGUAGUAAACUAUUUUCUUUGGUCUUCCCUCUUCCUGUAAUGGGUGGGGACACUACUUAGGUUACUUCUCUGCUGUUUAUGACACUGUGGUGAUCCACAAAGCAAAAGAAGCUGAAUUUCUGUGUCUGUUUCUGUGUGGGGCUCUCCAUGACCUUACUGUAUUCUCAUUCUAGGGAUCAACAUGAGUAAAAAUAUCAGGGUGUGCCAGUAUUUAGAGAGUAUAUCUGGAUGCUUAGUCUAUGUUUUACAGUUGCUGUUUUUUCUAAAAUAUCUCUCUUGAUAAAAAUUAAGCUAGCCAGAACAUGGUCAUCUAUAACCAUAUGACGAAUUUAAAUAAAGAAAAGUUUGUAACUCCAGUAAAAUUUCUUUUAAACAUAGAUAUUUUCUAAUUCAGUGUCUGAUAAAUGAAGACAGAAAAAAAAAUCCUCAGAAUUUUUGUGCAAUAUUUCCUUUCAGAUGAGAUUAACUGUAAAAUGCUACUGAAGGUUAAUAGUUUGAAACUGUGAAGACCCAUAAUAAUAUAUCAAUUAAUCUCAGUAUCCAGCAGCUGUGAUGUGCAAAACAGUUCAUACAGCUAAACAAAACAACAGAUUCAUUGGCUUUUUAAACAUUAAUGCAAAGAAUUAGCUUAAUGGCAUCCUAUCAUCCAUGGUUUGCCUGCAGGGCCUACUUCAUAAUUUUUUUCAGAGAUUAAGAUGAAAAGAACAUAGUUGUUAUUCAAAAAGAACUGUUCCCUGCUUGAGCUACUUCCUAUUUCUCACAGCAUCACAGCAAAUUAUUUGUAUGAGUCCAGUAUAUUAACUGAAAUUGAUAGACUCACAUUCAGUAAUGCUCAUUCCCACUCAUGGCCCCAGGCUGUUCCUCCGAUGUUGUGUGUUCAGUCUCUGAAGUAGUCUGGGGUCUUGCCCAGAUUAAUACAGAGGUGCCCUGUACACGCAGCCCAUCUGCUUCUCUCGACCCCCAGAUGUAGAGAGGCAAUCCAAUUCAGGGAACUCAGCCCUGGUGAGGCACCAGUGGAGGGUUGUGUCCAGUUCUGGGCUCCUCAGGACAAGGGAGACAUGGAGCAGGUCCAGCUGGAGCAUCUUUCUUAGGAGGAAAGGCUGAGGGAGCUGGGCCUGUUCAGCCUCAAGAAUAGACAACUGAGAGGAAACCUCAUUCAUGUUUGUCGGUGUCUGAAGGGGUGCUUCAGAUGGGGGGUGAUAACAAGCAAUAGGACAAGAGGCAACAGGCAGAAACUGAUGUACAGGAAAUUCCGCCUGAACAUGAAGAAGAGCUUCUUUACUGUGCAGAUGACAAAACCCUGGAACAGAUUGUCCAGAGAGGCUGUGGAGUCUCCUUCACUGGAGAUACUCAAGCACCAUCUGGAUGCAAUCCUGUGCCAGGGGUUCUGGGAUGACCCUGCUUGAGCAGGGAAGUUGGACCAGAUGACACACUGUGGUACCUUCCAGCCUGACCCAUCUUGUGGUUCUGUGGGAGUGGGAAAGCCAGGGAGUACAGGGAUGUUCCAUAAGAUACAGGCUGAUUUUGCAAAGCCAACAAGCCCUGCUCCAAAAUAGAAAAGUAACUGCACAAACUAGCCCACAAGGCAGAACUGGUGGAUUAAUUAUUCUGUUAGAGAUUUUGUUAAUUUCUCAAUAUAUUCCUUCUGAUUAAUCCA